AGGUUAUUUGCAUAUAAAAGAUAUAAGUAACUUAGCAAACUUGUCUUAAAAUCGUACCCGUCAAGGAACAAUAAUCAAAAUGAAUUCUAAAGUGAACUUUUUUAGAUUUUUUAUUUUGAUUGGAGCAUGUACAUGUCAAUCGUACUAUGAUAAUGUCCCAGCUCGAGAAACGGCUGAGCCAACAUUAAGCGCUGGAGUUAUUUCCGGAAUCGUGAUUGGUGUUUUGGCAUUUGCCUUUUGGUGUUGUUAUUUUUGUGGUGGGAGUUCAUCUGUUGGUUCCUCAUCAGGAUAAAGCUGUUACUGAAGCCGAAAACAUCGAUCAAUGAUUCAGCACACAAUUAACUGUUGACUUCUUUAUCGUUGUAUCACAUCAAACAUUAUUUCCUACUAUUAAACAGAACUAUAGCCGAAAGUCGCUAUCCGAAAUAAGCUAAAAAUUCUUUGAAAAACAGAUUCUUGGUUCAAAAUUUUUAAAAAUGUUUUGACCAUGCCUACAUGUAUCAUUUAUUGAUUGAAAUAUAAGUACAACAUUAUUCAUAAUUGAUCAUGACAAUGUUUUAAUGGUGCUUAAUUUCCUAACAUUUUCUUUAUUGCUAUGCGAUUGAUGAAACUGUAUUGACUUUCUAAUUGUACCUCGUAUCUUUUUCUUUCUGUACAUUUUGUAAAAUAAAAUAAAUGAUAUCGAGAA